UACGGAGGGUGCAAGCGUUAUUCGGAAUUACUGGGCGUAAAGCGCACGCAGGCGGGCUGUCAAGUCAGAUGUGAAAGCCCCGGGCUCAACCGAGGAACUGCAUUUGAUACUGGUAGGCUUGAGUCUCGUAGAGGGGGGUAGAAUUCCAGGUGUAGCGGUGAAAUGCGUAGAGAUCUGGAGGAAUACCGGUGGCGAAGGCGGCUCCCUGGACGAAGACUGACGCUGAGGUGCGAAAGCGUGGGGAGCAAACAGG
rnacentral:rRNA from 1 species